UACAGAGGUCUCAAGCGUUGUUCGGAUUCAUUGGGCGUAAAGGGUGCGUAGGUGGCGAGGCAAGUCGGAUGUGAAAUCCCGGAGCUCAACUCCGGAACUGCAUUCGAUACUGCCCUGCUCGAGUACUGGAGAGGAGAUUGGAAUUUACGGUGUAGCAGUGAAAUGCGUAGAUAUCGUAAGGAAGACCAGUGGCGAAGGCGAAUCUCUGGACAGUUAUUGACACUGAGGCACGAAGGCCAGGGGAGCAAACAGG
rnacentral:rRNA from 1 species